CGUAACAAAGUCUGAAACCAUUUAACGAUUUUCUAGACAGCAGAAAUCGAUGUUAACACAAACACAUUUUACUGACUUUAACAUUAGAGCUUUUAAAGGACUGUGGAAAUCAUUGCGAGGCAUUACGAAACAUUACGAGCGUCUUACGAUGGUUCACGAAGUCUACGAAGAGGUACGAAGGUAUACGACAACGACGUUUACGAUGAAACGAAGAAACCUCAAGAUUAAAUUUGGGCCGAGUUUUAAACGUAAACAUUCACAAGUUAGGGCAAAAUAUUGGUAAAUUCAGGACCCUAGCUAGCCCUUU
rnacentral:lncRNA from 1 species